UUUAGUGCUUAGGGCUUCCAGUAUCCGUGAACUCUAACAUUCAGGGCCUCCAAAGUCUCCAAUGUCCAGAAUAACCAAUAUCUCCAAAAUUCAAGGCUUCCAAUGUCUCCAACAUCCUGUGCUUCCAAUGUCUCCAAUGUCCAGGGUUUCCAAUGGUGCCAGUGUCAAGGUCUUCCAGCAACUCCAAGUCUUCCAACAACAUCGAGGUCUUCCAGCUAAUCCCAGUCUUCCAGAAAAUCCACGCCUUCCAGACAAGCCACGUCUUCCAGUAAAUCCAGUGUUCCAGCAAUUACAGGUCUUCUGCAAAAUCAACGUCUUCCAUAUCUUCCAGGAAAAUCUACGUCUUCCAGAAAAAUCCUUGUCUUCCAAUGGUUUCAAGAUCUUCCAGCUAAUCCACAUCUUCCAGAAAAAAAUCUAGGUCUUCCAACCAAUCCAUGUCUUCCACCAAAUCCAGCCUUCCAGUCAAUCCAUGUCUUCUGGACAAAAUUUAUGUCUUCCACUAAAUCCAGGUCUUCCAAUAAAGCUACGUUUUCCAGAAAAUUCACGUCUUCCACUUAAUCUCCGUCUUCACAAAUAUAUGUCUUCCUUGAUAUCUGCAUCUUCCAGUAACUGCCAAGUCUUCCAGCAAAUCAGCAUCUUCCGAACAGUGAAAGUCUUCCGGACAAUUCGGGUUCUCCUGAAAAUCCAUGUCUUCCAGAAAACCAUGUCUUCCAGGAAAUCCAUGCCUUCCAGUCACUUCCAGGUCUUCCAGACUAUCCAUGUCUUCAAUCAAAUCCAUGACUUCCAGAAAAUCCACAACUUCCAGAGAAACCAUGUCUUCCAGCAAAUCCUUAUCUUCCAGAAAUCUUUGUCCUCCAAAGCGCUGUGUCUUCCAUCAGAUUUAUGUCUUCCAGCCUACCCAUGUCUUCCAACAAAGCCACAUCUUCCAGAAAAUUCUCGUCUUCCAGAGCAUCCACGUUUUCCAACAAAGCCAUGUCUUCCAACAAAGGCACAUCUUCCAGAAAAUCUACAUCUUCCAACUAAGCCACGCCUUCCAGAAAAUUCAUGUCUUCCUACACCUCCAAGUCUUCCAGCAUCUCCAGGGCUUCCAGCAUCUGCUCGUCUUCCAGCAUCUCCACAUCUUCCGACAACUACCCAGUCUUCCAGCAGUGGGCUACAUAUCCACGUCUUCUGUCUCCAGUGUACCGAUCUUCUAACAUUCAGGUCUUCCAGUGUCUACAAUAUCCAGGGACUCCGGUGUCCUCUCCCAUCCCCAAAUGUGCAUAUGAGGUGGAGUGGCACAUCUGCAGUGUCCCCGUCUAAGUGAGUGUAGAUGUGUGAGAGAGGACCUGCGAUGGAAAGGCGUACUGUCCAGGGUGGAUCCCGCCUUCUGUCCUGAGCUGCCAGGAGAGGCUCCAGUCACCUGUGACCCUGAACUAGAAUAAGCAGAUGAAUUAUAGAGUCAACUUGUCAACUUUGGUGUAAAGAAAAAAAUUCCCUGGAAGUGCCUUGGACCUUUUGAGUAACCUGUCAAGAAGUGGCAUCUUUGCAAUACAGAAUUUUGCAUUUAUCUUUUCUCCAGGCAUCACAUUAAACUCUGUUCUUAUCUCUGUGCUCCCCCCACCAUGAAUUACCUUUAAUUCCUAGCUACAUAAUCAUGUCAGUCAUAAAUAAGAAAAAGUUUAUCUUUUCAUUGCAAAUGGUUGUUUCUGAUUUGGUUUUCUUUUUGGCACAUCGGUAAAGAUCUUAUAAUUUCCAGGACAAUGCAGAUUUAUACUGACAAUAAAGAAUAGGCCUCCUUCUCUUGUUAUUGACUUUAAUAACAGUACCUCCUUGUUUCACUCUCAAAUGGGAUUCCUAUUAUUUCUGACAGUAACUCUGUUUCAACUUAUGGAAACACCCUUCUAGCCCUGAUUCCUGACUUAUAGUUUUUUUGUCAGAAACAGAUGUAAAAUGUUAUCAAGUGUCCUCUCUAGGAUCUGCCAAGGUGAUAAUAUGAUUAUUCUUUUUAAUCCAUUAGUGUAGUUAAUUAUACUGAUAGGUUUCCUAAUGUUGAGCUACUCUUGCAUUCUUGUAAUAAAAGUGACUUGGUACCAGUGUUUUUGCUUAUGCUCAUAUUUCAUGUCACAACUAAAACUCUAUUAACACGUUCCUAGAGAAGAGCCUUGUACCUUUUUCACAUCAUGGCCAUGGUAAAUUAAAUGGACAGGAUUGCUCAGGGCAAAAGCAACUGGCUUUCCAAGCUCCUCCUGUCUGCCCUAAAUGCCUUAGAAGAUAUCAUGUUAUACACAAAACCUAUCCUCAGAACACCAAUGUGCACAUUUGUUGGGAAAUUCUCAUUUGUUAUUUUCCUUUGUGUAAUUUCCUUUUCCUGAUUUAAUAUCAGAAUGGUAUUACCCUUUGAAUCAAAUUAAUUUUUUUUCUUAGUUUACAGUCUAAGUAAAUUAGACACAAACCGUUCCCUUAAACACUUGGUAACACUCACCCAUAAAAACAUUUUGUUCUUGUGUUUGGGGAGUGGGGGAGUAACAACAUAGUAAAUGCUCUUUUCAAUUUGUUUGAUGAUUAGACUCAUUUCCUUAAGUUAGUUUCGUCAGUUUGUUUGUAAAAUUGUUUCAUUUCA